rnacentral:lncRNA from 1 species
UGGGAACUUCCAUAUGCUGCAGGUAUGGCCCUAAAAAAACAAAUAUAUGUGUGUAUUCUGAGCUGACAGUUCUGUCAAAGUUUGGAAAAUAUUCUGCCACUUUUGGCCUCUGAUUUCUGAUGAGAAAGUCACUGUCAUUUGAAUUGUUUUCUCCUGUUAAGUGAGCUGUCAUUUCUCUGCACGUUCAAGAUUUUUUUCUUUGUCUUUAGUUUUCAGAAGUUUGCUUCUGAUGUGUCUUGGAGUAGAUUUCUUGGGGUUUACCUGUUUGGAGUUCACUAAACUUCUUCAAUCUGUAGGUUCGUAGCUCUUGUCAAAUUAGGAUGUUUUUCAGCCACUAUUUCUUUGUAAACUUUGUCAGUCCCAAACUCUUUCUCCUGAGACUAUAUUGCAAUGUUGGAGCUUUUGUUACAGGCCUAACUUUCCUGAGGCUUUAUUUAUUUAUUUAUUUAUUUAUUUAUUUAUUUUUUCCCCAUCUAUCUUUUCUCUGUUGUUCGGAUUGGGUAAUUUCUAUUCUUCCAUCUUCAUAUUCAUUGAUGGUUCCUUUCUUGUCUCCAUUCUGCUAUUGAGCCCACCCAAUGAGGUUUCAGUUCUAAAAAUUUCACUUUGAUUUUUCUUCAUACCUUCUGUUUCUUUAUAAGGAUUUCUACGUUUUCGCUUGUUUCAAGUAUGUUUAUUAUUGCUUAUUGAAACCUUUUUAAGAUCAGCUUUAACAUCCUUGUCAGAUAAUUUCCCAAUAUCUGUGUCAUCUUGGUGUUGGCAUCUGUUGGUUGCCUUUUCUCAUUCAAGCUGAGAUUUUCCUGGUUCUUGGUAUGACAGACGAUUUAAAAAAAAAGUCCCAGGAGUUUCUGCCGUGGCUCAGUGGAAAUGAAUCCGACUAGGAACCAUGAGGUUGUGGAUUCUAUCCCUGGCCUCGCUCAUGGGUUAAUGAUCUGGUGUUGCCAUGAGCUGCAGUGUAGGUCACAGAUUUGGCUCAGAUCUGGUGUUGCUGUAGCUAUCUAUGGCUUAGGGCGGUGGCUACAGCUCUGAUUCAACCGCUAGUCUAGGAACCUCCAUAUGCCUCAGGUGGGCCCCUAAAAAGAAAAAGAAAAAAAAAAAAAAA